CGACAGGAAAUGACUCCUCCUGCAGAGGAGCCGCACGCAGCCUUGCCGCCGGCCGUCCGAACCGCAGCUGUCUGUCCGGCGCCACCCUUGCACGGGCGUGGGGCGCUGGUUUAAAGGAGGAUGAAACCAAAGAGGCAAGUGCUUUAAAGAACAAAACACCGGGUGUCCUGUGAAAGCUGACCGUCCCUGACUUUGAAGGUGCUCACGCUGGGCUCUGCGGAACUUGAGCGCCGGUCUAGUUUCCUGAGGUUCUGCGCAGGUUUAAGGCGGUGAGCAGCUGCGUGUGAAGGAUCCUUCCUGUCGAGCACGUGUGGAGUUUUCUCUGGAUCGCCGGGACGAGAACACUACGGCUUUGAAGGCUGCUGCCCUGGUGCCCGUCACGCUCCUGUCACAGCCUUCUCUGGGGAGUACAGAUGGCGGAGCUCUUCUAGGCGCCUCUGCUGCUUUGAAAUUAAACCUCAGAGAAACGACUUGCCUUGCGGUCUCCCCAUACUCGACUCUCUCCGGGAGGCUUCAGGCUCUGCAGUAACCGAAGGCCUAUCCUUGGGUGACUUCUUCCCAACUUUCUAUCCUCAUUUAAAGAUCGAGCUAAGCUCAAUGUACGGGAUUUAAAAAUACCUUCACACGUCAUUUGUCACCAUCUUAAA